AUCUUAUGAUUUGGGCAUUGCAUUAUCUUAUCAUUGAACCUUUUCCACACUUCAGACAAUGGUUCGCCAUUUAUUUGGCAAAAGUUGGUAUUUUAUCCCUUAGUU
rfam:Capsicum annuum cultivar Zunla-1 chromosome 3, whole genome shotgun sequence